CGCUCCAAAUCGAUGUGGUGAGCCACGUUGGCGCAAAUCUCAGUCGUUUUCGAUGAUUUGUUCGCGUUGCUCAGCCACAUCGAUGGGAUAAGCG
rnacentral:miRNA from 1 species